rnacentral:tRNA from 1 species
GAGGGUGUAGCUCAGUGGUAGAGUGCAUGCUUAGCAGGCAUGAGGUCCUGGGUUCCACCCCCAGUACCUCCG